GCGAUGCGGCCCCGGCUCCGGCGCCGCCGCCCGCAGCCCGCCGCCUCUUGCCAGCCGCUCUGAGCUGGAGAGCCGCGAACGCUUCGCUCGCGCCCUGGAAGCAGCGCUGUUCCCUGCCGCUGGAAGCGUGGUCGCUGCCCGGGUAAAUGCCCGGCGUGUCCCCAGGGCUCCGCGCUGAGCAGCGCGCGGUGCUCGCUCGGAGCCUGCCCGGGGAGCGCGCGGGGGGGGCUCCGCGGGCUGUGCCCUGCCGGGCGGCGCUGCCGGCGGGUCGGUGCGCGGUGCCCCCGGGCGCGUCCCGUCUCCUUCAGCAGCUGGCGGUGUCCUCCAGGAGAGCGCUGCUGGUCACAGCGCCGGUAGCGGACCGCAGUCCCCUGCCCCGUGCCUCCGCUAACUGUGUGUCCCGUCCGGGUGGCGAGGGGGUUUCUGUAUCGAAGCGUUUGUGCUGUGUGAAGGUGGUGGGCUCCCCAUCUGCCUUUGCCCCUCUGAGUUUGGACCACACCAGAACUUUGCUUUAUCCUUUUCCUGCCAUCCAUGGGUACCAAAAAUGUUUUCAUGGCCUUACAUGUGCUAACAAUUUAUAGACUGUAAAUUUGCUUUUGGCUUUUUAAAUAGCUAAAACUUUCUGUGACGUUUGGAUGGAUCUCAUCAUCCUCCCUCCCCAGAUUCUUUUCAUGGGAGGGAAAGAAAAAGAGAAAGUUUUCUUCUGUUGCUGUUGAGGGCCACUUCUCAUUUUUCAUGCUCCCUUCUAGGAGGUUAGGAGGUCCCAGUUCAACUUUGUUACUUGCGUAGAUGAAACGCAUCAUUCUUAAACGAGCAAGAGGCUGAUGUUUUUUUUGUUUUUUUUCUGGAGUUGGACCAAAAUGUGUUUGGUUUUGUGUAUGUGUUUUGGAAUAUGUUUUGGAUUUUUUGUUGCUUUUUGCAAGCUCCAGUAAGAAUUUCAGACUGUUUCACUUUAACAAGUGGAUUUUAUAAACACAGAGGCAGACAUAAUAUCAUCCCGAACCCAGAGACAGGCCUUGGGAAUUCCUGGGCUGCCUGUUUGCUAGUGUCACUAUCCUAUGAUUAAUGAGAGAUGGGUUUUGCAUGGAUGGCAGGCUGGUUGGUACAAGCUUGGAGGUAGUUUUCAGAUACACCUGUGGGUUUCCAGGGCUUUAGCCAAAGGCUAUACUGGCCUCUGGCCUGGAGUUGAAUCACCUUCUUGCAUGUACUCUCCAACAUACUUGGUCAUCCCUUCUGCCUGAGGACCAAGAACUCCAGCUUCAGAGCCCUCACAGCCCAGUGUCCAGUCCUGUUUCAUGAUCUGCUGUUUUCUGUUUGGAGCCUUUAUUGUAGGAAAAGCCGCACAUGAAGAAAGGAAGAAAGAAGUAAGUGGAAAACAAACCAGAGUGAUGUCCAUUAAAUUCUUCUGGGGAAAUGCUGGCCUGCCUUCUUCAAGUAUUCGGACCUGCUGCAGAAUAUGCAAGGCAGGUUCUCUGGUCAGCAGUAAUUCUGGGGUCUGGUUCUGCUCUCCCUCAAGAGCUCUCAGUCUUCAGGCAGCUUGUUGCUUUGUGCUCCUUCCACACAGGAGCAGACAAACUCAUGAAUGAAACAUUACUGAUACUGAAGAGAACUCCUGGCAUCCACCUCAGCAGAAGAAACUGACUUAUCAUUCAUUGAAGACAUCCGUACUUAUACAGGGAAUGCAUGCUCGCAUGACGGUGCCAAGCCAAGGCUGCCAUUGGAGGAGAGGGACAGAAACGGGACAGGAAAAGGGGGUGGAGGAGAGGAGAAGGAUGAGAAGGAAAAGAGGAAGAGGUGAGGGAGAUGUUCCCCUGCUACAUACAGAUGCUGCACUGCCUGCCAAAACAGCCCAGCCUGUGGGUUGCCCUGAGAGUGCCUGCUUAGCCACCCUUGGAGGAACUGCCACCUGACCUCCUCCAGUUGGGCUCCGUUUUGACCCUAAACCUAAAAAACUUUUGCAGUCUGAAAAUACUGAAAUGGUUUGUUCUUUUUUUUGGUUGUUGUUCUUUUUUUUUUUUUUUAAUUAUUAUUAUUAUAGAUAUGAUAUUACUAAAAAUAGACCUGCAUGUGCAAGUUUGAAAUGUUUCAUUUCAAACACAAGUACAACAUAAAUGCAGUUGGAGUGGAACUUGUCUUGCAUCAAGAAAUCAAAGCAGGCAUGAAGGAAGAGAGCACGUUGUGCUGAACAGUGUAUGACUGUUCCAUGGGGCAAGAUGGAUUGACCAUAUGUUGGUAUCCACGACUUUAUGCAAAUUCUGUGUCUGUGAAAGUUACCUAAUUAAGUCGAGUUCCUGAAACAUCUCAAAUGGGGAUUUGCACAACUUGUCUUUGAACUGAUGCUCACUGCUGCUACCGGCACGUGUCCAGGAGCCGCUUGGCUGCACGUGUGUCUGAGCCACCCAAGGCAGCUGCGGUGCAGCAGGAGCUGGAGGGGGCACAGCACCAACAAGCCACCAGUUCCUGGUGUCUGUGUUUGCUGUGGAGACACCUGAGGAACCGUGCCUUACAGGGUGUGCAGGAGGGUCUGUCUCCACGUCAGCUGUCAGCCAAACAGAUGAGUAACAAACCUCCAAAAUCAGAGGUUUUCAGCUCAAGAGUAGUAGAAGAAGGUGAAACUGGCACGGCUCAGCUAAGUGUGGAUCUCUCUGUGUAAAUCAACCCUGAUGGCUGAGAAAUUGAAGUUGGUAGAUGUAGCUAAGCCUUUUAAAAGGCGUCAGAGGUAAUCCAUUGAUCUAUUUACUAAGAUACUGCCAAGCUUUUUUUUUUUUUUUUUUUUUUUUAACCAGACAACCUCUGGAGAGCUGCGUAUGUGUAAUUAUUGAUUCUGUUCUUUUAUGGUCUGCAAAAUGUUGGGAAUAGUGAAUACUGUCCAGAAGAUUGGAAACAUUUUUGAGGUCUGGCGCCUCUACUGGAAAUCUUUGAAAUAGUUUGCAAGAAUAUGGUUAAAGCAAUACAGCCAGCCUUGAGUAAUUUAGUUAUCUCUCCCUGAGGAACCGAUAAUGACAACUAUUGGAGACACUGCUGGGUUGCACGGGCCUCUGACAAAUUUUAUGUCCUUAUGUUUUCAAAAGUAUCUAGUACUGGAGACAGUCUGUGUUCUCCAGAAAACUUUGAUGCCGAGAAGCCACUUUCAUUAUCUUGAUUUGUGCACCAUUACCCCAGUUGUCCCAGCAGAGGUCCAGAUCCUUGUGCAAUAAUGACAAUUUGCAAAAGUUACUUUCUGUGGAAACUCUAGAAAUAAUCAGCAGAUCUUAGUAACCCCAGGCCACAGGCAGGAGGAGAAAGGAACAACACACUGCUAUAGAAUCACAGAAUGCUUUGGGUUGGAAGGGACUUAAAAAAACCUAUACUUUGUCUUCAUUUGUUCUCAUUUAGUGCAUGUUCCAGAAGGAUAUCCUUGAGCUUUUUCCAGUCAUCUUGCCUCUGACAGCUACUCCAAAAGCAACAAAUGUCUAGCAAGCAUCCAAGUGCCCUGCAAACCAAUGAACCUUAUCUUCAACUUGAAUCUGGAACAACUGUAGUGAAUAAAUCAGUUUUUCUGCAUUUGAUCUGGUAUGUGGUAGGUGACUGCUUUGUCCAAUACUUCUAGUAUGAUGCCUUAAAGACUUGAAACCUGGGAAGAGCUGCAAUAUCUUGUCAAAAAUUCAGAUGACCAUGAGCAGCCUUUGUUCAAAACUUAGCCACUUACAUACAUAGACAGCAUUAAUCAUCUGGUGUACACAGAAAACCAUGUGAAGCUUCAGAGGAGAGCUGUAGAUGUUCCUUGCUCUUCAGGGGUCACUUGGCAACAGUGCAUGGAAGUUGGGAUUAUGUGACCAUCCCAAGGCUUUGACACGUUUCAGUUCAUUUAAAUCCAUGUUUUAAUUUCCUAUUUAUUAUCACAUAGCUUAUUGGUUUGUUAGAGACACAAAUUUGUAAUGCCUGGAAGGAAAAGCUGCAGUGUCAACUCACCUUUAACUUUAGACUUUGGAGAAAUCUCACAGAAAGCAAUCACAGAUCUCCAGGUUUAGAAGCCCUGCUGUUUGUUUGUCUACUUGGUGUGCAUGUGUGUCUGUGUUUAGAGACAUGGUUUUGUUUGUUUGAUUGUUUGUUUUUCCAAAAGCUUGGAAGUGGCUGAGAAUUAUAAGAAUCUACUGAAAUGUGUAUUUGAAAAUCUCAUCCAUUCUCAGGGCAACAGUAAACUAUACCAGUUUUGUAAAAACAGACAAAUUUUGAAGGUAUGAGCCUUUGAUGCUCAGCCCCAAAGCACUGCCAUGUGGCCAGGCAUUCUCAUCCACAGGCUGGGAUUUCUCAAGAGGUGCCAGCCCAGCUGUUUGUACAAUUACAGACUUCUACAAAGCUACCUCAUUUUUUCCCCAAUUUCAGUGUGUUUUCAUUUAACAAAGAAAGUAGCUGGAAAAUUACCCAGAAAUAUCUGACCUUUGGAAAGACCUCUAAGGCACAGUACAAUUACCUGAUGUUCACUGAACUGGUUCACGUGGUUCCCACUCUGAGUGAUUUUCUAGGUUUACCCAAGUGUGAAGAGGGGUCUGGUUAUAUGGAGGAGGGCAAAGAAGAGAAUAAACUUCAUGAAGGAGCAAGAAAUCCACCAGGGAAUUUUACAACUUACGUUUGCUUCAAGGAAAAGAAAGGGCAAAUAAAGGUACCCAAGUCAAAGUAGCUUUUUGGAUUUGAACUUCAAAAGAAAGUAACAGAGGAAAGAUCUGAGGUAUCAGUAGCUUUUAGUAUAAACUGUUUCAUUGCAUUAGGUAGGCAUUGCAGACUACGUCAAACUUAGCUUUCUUAGCCACAUGAUAAAUUCUUUUUUUUUCUCUUUUUUUUCUUUUUUUUCCCAAGUAUGAUAAAAAUAUAACAAAAAUGACAUUUUUCCCUUUCAGCUUUUCUUUCCUUCUGCCUUUGCUCUCUCUGCACACGGGAGAUAACUUGGCUAUCCCAUCACCUGUGUUCACUCCAGGGGCCUGCUGUGGUGUUUCUGCAGCCCUUUCUAUUGCAUGUUCCUUGACACUGGAACAAAGUAUGUGAGUUAUCUGGGGCUGCAAUCUCUAUUAGGCUUUAGGGAAAAUACCUUUCUAAGGAAAUAAAUUCCAUGGUUGGCACAAAUGUGCCUCUACUAUGCACUCUUUUUUUUUUUUUUUUUCUUCAGUGGAAGGUAUAAGCAGGUGUACAUAAAAGUAUGACUUUGAUAGCUUCGUAUUGGCAGAGACACAAAGUGGUGUUUUUGCCUGCUACCCCCUCUGCUCUGAACUGCCAGCAGCACUAGAGGGGAAUGCAGGGAGAUGGACCUUUGUACUUUGUGAGAACAGUAAUAUCUGAAAACUUGAAGACUGCUUAAAACUAGGGAGAUGGAUUUCUGUCUUUGAUGAGAGAGAGCACAGUACGCAAAAGGAAGUACAUUUGCACAAAAGAAAAUUAUUUUGAAUACUUUUGGAAUAGAAGGACUUCCACAAAUAAAAGCAAGUAGUCAGUGCCCCUUCUGCCUGUGUUAUUGAGCAAAAGGAGCAAAUUCUCCGAGACUGGCUAGAAAGAGAGGAACAUCAUCAUGGAACUGUAGCAAUGAAGCAGUUUCUAAAUAUUUGGUGUAAUAUCUUUCCAAUAAAAGAAAUUUCAGAAUUUACAUUUGAGAUAGUAGCUUCUAAGUGGAAACUCUAAAUCUACACAGAGACAAAUCAAAAAUUUUGAUUACUCCAGUCUUUUAAUCUUACUGUAUAAAAUAGCAGUAACCUCCUGAGUCCAUGGAGAAUCAUAGUCUGUUCUGCCUGAGAAGUCCUUUGAUGACAGAAAGCUUCACGGGGUACAAGGUUUGAUUGUGCCCACUGUGGUCUACAGCAUGCAUCUGGUUUAUGACUGAAGGCCUCUUCUCUAGGGACUUUAACCACGAUUUCCUUAUGGUGAGUGCUCCCGUACUCCAAGGCAUGGAAUCAACACCCGGAAUUGCAGACAGGUGCCUAAACCUGAAAUCAAACAUUAAGGUGCCCGUGAGCCUUGUAGCUGCCGGCACAGCUGUGGGGUGCAUACCAUGGAGCCCAGCCUCAUCCCCACUGGGACCUAUGACCUUGGCCUCUUGAGGAAGCUGUCCUGGUCCUUGCAGGUGUGGGAUGUGCUUUCAGCUGCCAUCCCAGCAGUCACGGCACUUGUCUGUGGCACAGGAAACCCCAGGAACACAUUUCUGCUCUGGCUGGGGGUGCGAGGGCUUCAGGCAGGGCUGGCCUGCCAGUCCCUCAGCAGGAGGGUAGUGCUGCGCCUGCUGGCUCCACUUUGCACAGGAUACCGAGCCUUGCAUGGGGCCAGAUGCUAGAACCCAGCUAUGCAGUGGGGCUGUUGGUCGAUUUGGUUGUGAAGCCAGUACUGGUGUUGCUCCAAGCACGGCUGUGGCACCCAGCAUGAGGUGGAGCAACUUCCACCAGAGGCUGCAUGCUUCACCUCAGGAUCCAGGCACUACCCAAGUGAGCAGGAUGGGGCUGAGGCCUUAUCUAACUUCAGUUAGAUCCCUGCUCCUGGUGGGAGCUCUGCCUAAGCAGUGGGUUACUCAGUGACGGAGGCUCUGUGCAGGCUGGGGCACCCACCUCCAGGAGGCAGCUUGUGACUAUGAAUGGCGCCUCCACAGGAAGAGGGACAGCGGUAGUGGGCAGGCAGUGACCUGGCUCACCAUGGAGCAGUGUGUCCCAAAGCAUGGACUGAUCGCACCUUUCUUAUUGACAUGUUAUGGGACUGUUCCCCUUACUGAUAUGUGGGGUCAACAUGCAGAGUUUAAAUUUGGAUCCUAAGUGUUAGCGUCAAGUUUCCACAGAAUUUUGUGUCUUUGGAUCUGCUGUUUUUCCACACAAGCUCGUGGAGUGGGAAUAAAACUGUCCUUUGGGACAAAAGCAGAACAUCUUAAAAAUAGGUGCUCACAUAAACUCUGAAGGCUGAGGUGCUCUAAAAGCAGUAGUCUUUCAUCAGUGUUUGUUUUCAAGGUCAGGAACAUCUCUGAGUGAGACUCACCUCAGUUCAGGGAUACAGAAAGGAAAAUCAUAUGUUAGAAGUAAAAGAAGAACCCUGAAUAAGAAGAUUUUUCAGAAAGCCAUUUCUUACCCUAGGUAAGAUUUUCAGAUCAAAGUGGAUGGUUAUUCAGGAAAACACUGAAGCACAUGGUUAGAAUACUAGCUCCCAGACUUUCUCUGGCAGCAGCCAUGCUGGAAGACCAGUUUAGUCUAAGCUCAUAGCAGCAUAAAUAGGGAAGAGGUGGAAUUCAUCAGGCCAGUGCCUCCUCUUUUUGGAGGCUGAGCAAUGCGCACAGGUCCAUGCUCCUGAAUUCAUGCCUGUUCUGGCAUUUUGUCUGCCUGAUACUUAAGCCUAUGCACUUAUCUUGGUCUAUGCAAAGUUCACCAAGGUCUGCCAAGCCUACAACAGUUACUUAUGGGCCACAGAUGGAUGCCUCAUCUUACUGGAGAGAUUCGUGGAACUUUUCUGUCUUCCUGUAAAGCAUACUGGUUGUUAACAGCUGAUCCUGAAAAGGCACUGACAUAAGGGCAUCAAGGAGUAUGGUUUUACAGACAUGCACUCCCUGCAUUUCCGACUAAGAGUAUGUGCUGAGUAGUUAAACUACGACAGAAAGACUGAAAUAUUUGAGAGGUUUAUACCAGAUCCUGCUUUUAACUAUCUGUAGCCCUGUUUGGAGAAGGGUUGUAGUUAGUAGAUGCUUUUAGCUUGAAUUUGCACUUCUUCAGUCUGGAAAGAAGAAUGGAAGAAACGUUCUGGGCACAAAUUCCAUGUACAUCUCACACCAUCUGCUAAUAUCAUGUGUGAGCCACUCUGCUGCCAGAAACUGAGGAACAAAGACAACAUCAUUAUGGAGAAAAUUGCACUGCUCCAAAAAUGAGACUCGUGCUACAGAUAACUUGAUAGCUCCCUGCCUGUUGGGGCCAAGGUCGGGGCCAAGUCCUGUCUGCCUGACACUUGCAUAAAGCCAGGAUAAUGUCACUGAAGCCAGUGAGGGACCUUACAGAGGCAAAGCUGCUCCUGCUGAGCCUAAUGCGCAAGCUAUUAGAAAAGACCCUGGUCCACAAUCAUCUCUCUGUGAGUAGCUCUCUCUGUAACUGCCUGCAGUCAGCUGAGCUCCAUCCUCCUCCAGGAUCCAGACUGUGACAUUUCAGAAAAAUGUUAUUAGUAGAUCUCAGAGGUGUUUAAGUUUCAAUAUGGAGCUGGUACAAGCACUACCUGAUUGCUCUGACAGUCCUCUCAAAGGCAGAACAAAGAGGGAAAUUUAUGCCUUAGCAGACUGGAGUGUGUAUUUUCACCAUUACUGAUGGAGCAGGAGGAGGCAUGAAACCCUCUGAGAGGGUUUCUGCAUGGCCCACACUAUUUUGAGGUCCCCCUUUCUGCUUGGAAAGCUUCCUUUCUUUUUCAGUGAUACGUGUAAUGCUGGAAACUGGCACCAAGUUUCCUGCUUGAUGUUACAUUAUGAAGUAGUUGAUAACAUUUUUAGGAAGGGAGGGGGAGCUGUUUAUAAAUAGCCUUUGCUUAUUUCAGGUUUCUUAUUUCCCUGUUCGUAAAUUAGAGCAAUUGUAUUUGUGACAGUACCGGAUGAAUGCAAGCACAAAGCUAGCUGGAACAAUGCAGUUACUGCAGGCAUCCACUGCGAUCUGACACGCUGGCACCAAAUUCUGUGCGGGCCAGGCAGAUUACAUACGUGCAGAGAAUGCAAUGUUUCUACCAAAGAUGUGCAAUCUCCUGGUUCUUGCAUCACUCUGAAACCUGCCACAUUUCCACAGAUCUCACAGGCACCUGGGAACAGGUUUUUAUUUCCUUAUUCACAGGUAAUAACUCAGAUUGACUGUCACUGUAGCUUUCAUGGCUACAGUUUUGUGAGUAAAUGUAGGGAUCUGGCUCAUAGAUAAAUGCAUGACCAACUCUUACGCAGCAAUG